rnacentral:sRNA from 1 species
GCUGGGCAUAGUGGCAUAUGCCUGCAAUCCCGGCAGCUUGGGAGGCUGAGGCAGGAGGAUGGCGAGUGCAAAGCCAGUCUCAGCAACUUAGUGAGGCCUAAGCAAUUUAGCAAGACUCUGUCUCUA